rnacentral:rRNA from 1 species
UACGAAGGGGGGCUAGCGUUGCUCGGAAUUACUGGGCGUAAAGGGAGCGUAGGCGGGUUAUCAAGUUGGGGGUGAAAGCCCGGGGCUCAACCUCGGAAUUGCCUUCAAAACUGAUAACCUGGAGUAUGGAAGAGGUAAGUGGAACUCCGAGUGUAGAGGUGAAAUUCGUAGAUAUUCGGAAGAACACCAGUGGCGAAGGCGACUUACUGGUCCAUUACUGACGCUGAGGAGCGAAAGCGUGGGGAGCGAACAGG